GAAGGGUGCAAGCGUUACUCGGAAUUACUGGGCGUAAAGCGUGCGUAGGUGGUCGUUUAAGUCUGUUGUGAAAGCCCUGGGCUCAACCUGGGAACUGCAGUGGAAACUGGACGACUAGAGUGUGGUAGAGGGUAGCGGAAUUCCUGGUGUAGCAGUGAAAUGCGUAGAGAUCAGGAGGAACAUCCAUGGCGAAGGCAGCUACCUGGACCAACACUGACACUGAGGCACGAAAGUGUGGGGGAGCAAACAGGAUUAGAUACCCUGGUAGUCCACGCCCUAAACGAUGCGAACUGGAUGUUGGGUGCAAUUUGGCACGCAGUAUCGAAGCUAACGCGUUAAGUUCGCCGCCUGGGGAGUACGGUCGCAAGACUG
rnacentral:rRNA from 1 species